UCCGGUUUGGCACCGGCAGUCUUUCUAGAGUCCCCGACUUAACUCGCUGGCAACUAGAAACGGGGGUUGCGCUCGUUGCGGGACUUAACCCAACAUCUCACGACACGAGCUGACGACAGCCAUGCAGCACCUGUGCAUGGACUCCGAAGAGGGGCCUCGGUUUCUCGAGGCUUUCCCAUGCAUGUCAAGCCUAGGUAAGGUUCUUCGCGUUGCGUCGAAUUAAACCACAUGCUCCACCGCUUGUGCGGGCCCCCGUCAAUUCCUUUGAGUUUCAGCCUUGCGGCCGUACUCCCCAGGCGGGGUACUUAAUGCGUUAGCGCCGGCACUCAGGGGGUCGCUCCCCCAAGCACCUAGUACCCAUCGUUUACGGCGUGGACUAC
rnacentral:misc_RNA from 1 species